rnacentral:rRNA from 1 species
GUGCACCAGGCGCGAAAACUUCACACUGUGCGAAAGCACGAUGAGGGAAUCCCAAGUGCUUGCACGUAAGUGUAAGCUGCUUCUCUGUCUAAAACGCAGAGAGAGUAAGGGCUGGGUAAGACGGGUGCCAGCCGCCGCGGUAAUACCUGCAGCUCAAGUGGUGACCGUUAUUAUUGGGCCUAAAACGUCCGUAGCCGGCUUAAUAAAUGCCUGGGUAAAUUGUGUAGCUUAACUAUACGAAUUCCGGGUAGACUGUUAAACUUGAGACCGGGAGAAGUUAGAGGUACUCCUGGGGUAGAGGUGAAAUUCUGUAAUCCUAGGGGACCACCAGUGGCGAAGGCGUCUAACUAGAACGGGUCUGACGGUGAGGGACGAAGCCCUGGGGCGCAAACGGGAUUAGAUACCCGCGUAGU